rnacentral:rRNA from 1 species
GUACACGCUGUGACUAGCAUAUCAAUAAGCGGAGGAAAAGAAACUAACAAGGAUUCCCCUAGUAACGGCGAGUGAAGCGGGAAGAGCUCAAAUUUGAAAUCUUAAAGGGUUUCCCUUUACGAAUUGUAGUUUAAAGAAGUGUUUUCUGUUGAGGUUUUGGUAAAGUUCUUUGGAAUAGGACAUCAUAGAGGGUGAGAAUCCCGUAUUUGACCUUUACUUUCAACUUUGUGAUACACUUUCAAAGAGUCGGAUUGUUUGGGAAUGCAGUCCAAAAUGGGUGGUAAAUUUCAUCUAAAGCUAAAUAUUGGCGAGAGACCGAUAGCGAACAAGUACCGUGAGGGAAAGAUGAAAAGAACUUUGAAAAGAGAGUUAAACAGUACGUGAAAUUGUCAAAAGGGAAGCGUUUGACACCAGUGUUGUUUCUCUGAAAAUCAAUUAAAGAACUGUUUAUGCUAAGCUGUUUAGACUUUAUCAGCUAUCUGUUUAGUUUUAGGCUUUUCUUUAAUGCACUUUUCAGUUAACAAGUCAACAUCAAUUUCUUUUGCUGUAAAAAAGCUUGAGGAAGGUGGCUUGAGAUUCGUCUUAAGUGUUUAUAGCCUCUUGCCUAUGCAGUCGGAGAGAUUGAGGUCUGCAGCGUAGAUCCUUCGGGGCUAAAUGCAUUUGUGCUAAGUUAUAGCAUUUUAUAGACAACUUGUUGACUAUGACUUGUCUUGUAGCUUACUCGCUUAUGUUAUUUUACCUACGCUUAGGAUGUUGAUAUGCAUGACUGAUAU